AAGCGGAGUUCUCGAAAAUCCACAAGCAAAAUCAUUUUUUUUAAAUAAAGAACAAAAAGAAAAAAAAAAACAAAGAAAGGGGGAAGAGGAGAAUGUCUAGAAAUAAUAAUAAAAAAUAAAAAUAAGAAAUAAAUAGUUAUAUUUUUAACUUAAACAAAACUGCUACUUAAUAAAACAAAAUAAGAAUAUUUCUCCAAAAUGCACACACAAAGACUUAAC
rnacentral:lncRNA from 1 species